rnacentral:rRNA from 1 species
UAUCUCUGUAGAGUCUGCAUAUCAAUAAGCGGAGGAAAAGAAACUAACUAGGAUUCCCUCAGUAACGGCGAGUGAAGCGGGAAGAGCUCAAAUUUGAAAUCUUCAAGGUUCUACCUUGACGAAUUGUAGUUUAAAGAAGUGUUUUCUGUUGGAGUUUUGGUAAAAGUUCUUUGGAAUAGGACAUCAUAGAGGGUGAGAAUCCCGUAUUUGACCAUUAUUUCCAACUUUGUGAUACACUUUCAAAGAGUCGGAUUGUUUGGGAAUGCAGUCCAAAAUGGGUGGUAAAUUUCAUCUAAAGCUAAAUAUUGGCGAGAGACCGAUAGCGAACAAGUACCGUGGGGGAAAGAUGAAAAGAACUUUGAAAAGAGAGUUAAACAGUACGUGAAAUUGUCAAAAGGGAAGCGUUUGACACCAGUGUUGUUUUUCCGAAAAUCAAUUAAAAAUUGAUUCAUGCCAGGUUGUAUUGACCUUGUCAGCUUGCAAUUUGGUUUUGGGUCUCUUUUUGAUGCACUUUUCGGUUAACAAGUCAACAUCAAUUUCCUUUGCUGUAAAAAGGUAAGAGGAAGGUGGCUUCAAUUUCGGUUGAAGUGUUUAUAGCCUUUUAUCUCUGCAGUCGGGGAGAUUGAGGUCUGCAGCGUAGAUCCUUCGGGGCUAGAUACAUUUAUGCUAAGUUAUAGCUUUUCAUAGACAACUCGUUGACUAUGUUUAGUCAUGUAGCUUACUCGUAAGUGCUAUUUUACCUACGCUUAGGAUGUUGAAGACUCUACAGAGAUA